CACGUAGGGCGCGAGCGUGUCCGGAAUUAUUGGGCGUAAAGAGCUCGUAGGCGGCCUGUUGCGUCCGCUGUGAAAGCCCGGGGCUUAACCCCGGGUCGGCAGUGGAUACGGGCAGACUAGAGUGCGGUAGGGGAGAUUGGAAUUCCUGGUGUAGCGGUGGAAUGCGCAGAUAUCAGGAGGAACACCAAUGGCGAAGGCAGAUCUCUGGGCCGUAACUGACGCUGAGGAGCGAAAGCAUGGGGAGCGAACAGG
rnacentral:rRNA from 1 species